GACGAACGCUGGCGGCGUGCUUAACACAUGCAAGUCGAGCGGUAAGGCCCUUUCGGGGGUACACGAGCGGCGAACGGGUGAGUAACACGUGGGUGACCUGCCCUCAGCUCUGGGAUAAGCCUGGGAAACCGGGUCUAAUACUGGAUAUGACUCCAUGACGCAUGUUGUGGGGUGGAAAGCCUUGUGCGGCUGAGGAUGGGCCCGCGGCCUAUCAGCUUGUUGGUGGGGUGAUGGCCUACCAAGGCUUCGACGGGUACCGGGUGUGAGAGCAUGACCCGGCACAUCGGAACUGAGACACGGUCCGGACACCUACGGGUGGCUGCAGCAACGAAUAUUCCGCAAUGGGCGAAAGCCUGACGGAGCGACGCCGCGUGCAGGAUGAAGUCUUUCGGG
rnacentral:rRNA from 1 species